AUGGGCCGCCGCCGCCGCCAACCCUCUUCGCCGUCGCCGGCGGCGGAGCAUCCGCUGGAAGACGACGACCUACUGCGCGAGAUCCUCCUCCGCCUACCCCCACAGCCGCCCUACCUCCUGCGCGCCUCCCUCGUCGCCAAGCGCUGGCGACACAUCGCCACCGACCCCAAGUUCCUCCGCCGCUUCCGCGUCCACCACCGGAAGCCUCCCCUCCUCGGGGACUUCUCGUAUGAAGACGGGAGACUCUCGUUCAGAUCCACCCUGGACCUGCCCUACCGCAUCCCUCCCGACCACUUCCCCCUACAACUACAGCACCACGGUCGCGAGCCAUGGACGUUGGUCGACUGCCGCCACGGACGCGUGCUCCUCAUCAACAGCGAGAUGCGUCAGGUCAUUGUGUGGGACCCCUUGACUGGCGACCGCUCCCUCUUGUCACCUCCGCCGGCGUUUGACGACAUGCACACUGCGGCGGUGCUCUGCGCUGCCGGCGAGCAGGGCCACGCGCAUGGUGCCUGCCACUCGAGCCCUUUUAAAGUGGUCGUGGUGGACAGCUGCGAGCACGGCGAUGAAACCGUCGUCUUCGUGAGUGUUUACGCAUCGGAGACUGGCGUAUGGAGUGAUCUCCUCUCAACAACGCUUGCAUCUAUGGGUAUUGCUGUUGGUAAUCGCAGCACACUUGUUGGCAGACGAUGGCGGUGUUGGCUUCUCUGCUUUGUCGUGCCCCCACUGCCAGUAAUCUGCUGCUACCACCAACCCUGUUUCCGAAUGUGGGAUAGGAAGGCCAAUUGUUAUGGUGUUGCCGUAUGGGUGUUGAGGAAAUCCAUUGAACUGCAGAAGCUACGGGUUGGGGUUUAA
rnacentral:rRNA from 1 species